UCGCGUUAAACAAAAGCGACUUUACUUUGGCAUAUAAAAACCCCUCUUCUUCGAGCCCAAAUACAAUCUCGCUCUAACAUACGCGACUAUACUUAGGCAUAUGUACAACCUUCUCCUUCAAUUCCUAACAAACUCGUUCGAGAUUCUCCGCUGGUAUACCCAUUCACUUCAGAGCCCGAGCCGCAGAACCGUUUCAAUUCAGACCCAAACGUAAUCUCUCUUCGUUCUUUGUUUUUCAAUUUAGAUUUGCUGAAUUUCCCAGUUGGGUAUAGUCGUUUUGUUGGGAUUUCAAUAGAGCAUUUCAAUUUCCAAGAAAUUUGACUGUGUAGUUUUUCAUUGGGGCAGAUGAAAUGCAAGAAAGUGUUGGCUUUCGAAUUAUGGGUUCACCGUUCACCAAUGGCUCAAAAUCUCAUUAUUAAUGCUGGAUGCGAUGUAAAUGUUUGGAAUAGAACGGAAAGGAAAUGUUGUCCCCUUAUCUCGCUGGGUGCAGAGUAAGGCAGUUAGUUGUUGGCAUAGGAGCUAAAUUUACUGGUCUUACGUGUAUGAUGUGCUGAUUUGGUUAGGGUCUCUGAUAUAUAAUCCAAUGUAAACCCCUGCUUACCAUUUUACCACUCCUUCAUGUCUGAACAAAUAUAGUUUAAAGACGGUUGAAAGGUCUCUGUAAAGAAUGAUGAACUAGGUAUAACCCUGACAAUAUUUCAUCGGGCUAUGUAUCUCAUUUUUUGUCCUAUAAACAUACAGCAACAUCUGUACCGGAUUUUGGCUUGGGGGACCAUUCUGAUGAAGUUAUUGUAGGAUGGCAGUAUUGUGAGGAUGCAUAUUCAGGGUACAAGUCAGAACAUCUCCACAUAUGGGGAGAAGGAAGAAAGAGGAAAUUAUGGAAUUGGGCAAUCUGGGGACAGAUUCACUUGGAAAUCACUAUGGGUUGUGGGAAGAGGAUGAGUUUAACAGGGAUAUACACAACAAAGUAUUCGAGAUAUUUUAGUUGAACCGACAGAGUUUAGCGGAUGGAAUCAGGAAUCUCUAUGGGGAUACCUGGAUUUUCUACAGAUCAUAGCCCGUUGGUUUUGGACACAGCUUGAAGUUCUUUGAAGUCUAGAUCACAAUUUCGGUUUGAAGCUGUUUGGCUGUGUAGUCCAGAGUCUCCAGACUCACAAACUAUCAUUCACAAAGCUUGACAGGUUUAAUUUGCGGGUUUGCAUAUGUUCUCUCUCAUGCGUAAACAGGAGGUGAUGUUGGGAUGCCUUCGAAAUUGGACUAAAUUGACUGAUGGACUAAAUUGAGAAGAUGGAGUUUGACAGAACAAGAUAUGAGGAGAGAGUUUGGUGAACUUCUCAUGAAGCAAGAAACAUAGUGGGCUCAACGGUCAAAGCUGAACUGGUCAAAGUUGUUCAUUGUUCGUAAUGAUUGAAGGGUUUAUGAUGAGGAAUUCAAGUUAUUAUAAUUCUGGGUUUGAAGUUAAAUUACUUUACUUGGUUUGAGCAAAUAUACUGUGUUUUUUUUUUUUUUGAUAUUCAAUUAUACUGUGUUACGAAGUUAAAUUUCUUACUUCGAGAUCUUAACUAUGAGCCAUCAAUCAGUGAUGUCCGUUUUUUGUGUUUUUGUUCAUCUUGACUUCAUUAAGAGAUCUGUUGUUGUUGUUAUUCAUGCAGGUGCAUGAUCAAAAGCAUAGAAGCACCUUUUCUUAACACAUCCCAUAUUACUAAAUUCUGUAUCCGGCUUAAUUAGUUGUCCCCUAAACUUAAUAUUAUUGUAGAUUUGAAGGUGGAAUUUAGUUGUUGAUUGAUCAAAAUUUCAAAUUCCUUGAUCUCCAAUUCUCGAUUCGGUCGAGUUUUGAAGGAUGACGCUGGCAGAGAUCGAUGUACGAAUCACAGAUAUGUUUGAGCUCUAUUGUAAGCAUUCUCAUUCCAUCUGUUAUCUUGUGUAGAUGCGAUGCUUUCAAGUUUCAUGGUAAUUUGGUGGCUCUAUGAAAGGUGUGUUGGUUUGUUCCAUCCUUUGAAGCAUGGAUACUCUAUUUCGGCCUGCGUAUCACGUAUCGGAAUAGGAUACCGAUACUCUCGGAUACGCUCUGAAUACGUAUCCGAUACC